rnacentral:rRNA from 1 species
UACGUAGGGUGCAAGCGUUAUCCGGAAUUAUUGGGCGUAAAGAGCUCGUAGGCGGUUUGUCGCGUCUGCUGUGAAAACCCGAGGCUCAACCUCGGGCCUGCAGUGGGUACGGGCAGACUAGAGUGCGGUAGGGGAGAUUGGAAUUCCUGGUGUAGCGGUGAAAUGCGUAGAUAUCUGGAGGAACACCGGUGGCGAAGGCGGCAUCCUGGACCGGCAUUGACGCUGAGGCGCGAAAGCUAGGGGAGCAAACGGG